rnacentral:rRNA from 1 species
CCGACUCCUACGGGAGGCAGCAGUAGGGAAUCUUCGGCAAUGGACGAAAGUCUGACCGAGCAACGCCGCGUGAGUGAAGAAGGUUUUCGGAUCGUAAAACUCUGUUGGUAGAGAAGAACGUUGGUGAGAGUGGAAAGCUCAUCAAGUGACGGUAACUACCCAGAAAGGGACGGCUAACUACGUGCCAGCAGCCGCGGUAAUACGUAGGUCCCGAGCGUUGUCCGGAUUUAUUGGGCGUAAAGCGAGCGCAGGUGGUUUAUUAAGUCUGGUGUAAAAGGCAGUGGCUCAACCAUUGUAUGCAUUGGAAACUGGUAGACUUGGGUGCAGGAGAGGAGAGUGGAAUUCCAUGUGUAGCGGUGAAAUGCGUAGAUAUAUGGAGGAACACCGGUGGCGAAAGCGGCUCUCUGGCCUGUAACUGACACUGAGGCUCGAAAGCGUGGGGAGCAAACAGGAUUAGAUACCCUGGUAGUCCACGCCGUAAACGAUGAGUGCUAGAUGUAGGGAGCUAUAAGUUCUCUGUAUCGCAGCUAACGCAAUAAGCACUCCGCCUGGGGAGUACGACCGCAAGGUUGAAACUCAAAGGAAUUGACGGGGCCCGCACAAG